rnacentral:tRNA from 1 species
UAGCUUAGAGGUUAAGCGCUGGGCUUCCGAACCUGGGGUCCUGGGUUCGAAUCUCGG